rnacentral:siRNA from 1 species
UUGAUUUGAUCAGGUUCACUUC